UAGCUAGUUGGUGAGGUAACGGCCCACCAAGGCGACGAUCGGUAGCCGGACUGAGAGGUUGAACGGCCACAUUGGGACUGAGACACGGCCCAGACUCCUACGGGAGGCAGCAGUGGGGAAUAUUGCACAAUGGGGGAAACCCUGAUGCAGCGACGCCGCGUGGAGGAAGAAGGUCUUCGGAUUGUAAACUCCUGUUGUUGAGGAAGAUAAUGACGGUACUCAACAAGGAAGUGACGGCUAACUACGUGCCAGCAGCCGCGGUAAAACGUAGGUCACAAGCGUUGUCCGGAAUUACUGGGAGUAAAGGGAGCGCAGGCGGGAAGACAAGUUGGAAGUGAAAUCCAUGGGCUCAACCCAUGAACUGCUUUCAAAACUGUUUUUCUUGAGUAGUGCAGAGGUAGGCGGAAUUCCCGGUGUAGCGGUGGAAUGCGUAGAUAUCGGGAGGAACACCAGUGGCGAAGGCGGCCUACUGGGCACCAACUGACGCUGAGGCUCGAAAGUGUGGGUAGCAAACAGGAUUAGAUACCCUGGUAGUCCACACCGUAAACGAUGAUUACUAGGUGUUGGAGGAUUGACCCCUUCAGUGCCGCAGUUAACACAGUAAGUAAUCCACCUGGGGAGUACGACCGCAAGGUUGAAACUCAAAGGAAUUGACGGGGGCCCGCACAAGCAGUGGAGUAUGUGGUUUAAUUCGACGCAACGCGAAGAACCUUACCAAGUCUUGACAUCCUGCGACGCACAUAGAAAUAUGUGUUUCCUUCGGGACGCAGAGACAGGUGGUGCAUGGUUGUCGUCAGCUCGUGUCGUGAGAUGUUGGGUUAAGUCCCGCAACGAGCGCAACCCUUAUGGUCAGUUACUACGCAAGAGGACUCUGGCCAGACUGCCGUUGACAAAACGGAGGAAGGUGGGGAUGACGUCAAAUCAUCAUGCCCUUUAUGACUUGGGCUACACACGUACUACAAUGGCGUUAAACAAAGAGAAGCAAGACCGCGAGGUGGAGCAAAACUCAGAAACAACGUCCCAGUUCGGACUGCAGGCUGCAACUCGCCUGCACGAAGUCGGAAUUGCUAGUAAUCGCAGAUCAGCAUGCUGCGGUGAAUACGUUCCCGGGCCUUGUACACACCGCCCGUCACACCAUGAGAGCCGGGGGGACCCGAAGUCGGUAGUCUAACCGCAAGGAGGACGCCGCCGAAGGUAAAACUGGUGAUUGGGGUGAAGUCGUAACAAGGUAA
rnacentral:rRNA from 1 species